rnacentral:rRNA from 1 species
UAUCUCUGUAGAGUCUGCAUAUCAAUAAGCGGAGGAAAAGAAACUAACUAGGAUUCCCUUAGUAACGGCGAGUGAAGCGGGAAGAGCUCAAAUUUGAAAUCUUCAAGGUUUUACCUUGACGAAUUGUAGUUUAAAGAAGUGUUUUCUGUUGAGUUUCGGUAAAAGUUCUUUGGAAUAGGACAUCAUAGAGGGUGAGAAUCCCGUAUUUGACCAUUUAUUUCAGCUGUGUGAUACACUUUCAAAGAGUCGGAUUGUUUGGGAAUGCAGUCCAAAAUGGGUGGUAAAUUUCAUCUAAAGCUAAAUAUUGGCGAGAGACCGAUAGCGAACAAGUACCGUGAGGGAAAGAUGAAAAGAACUUUGAAAAGAGAGUUAAACAGUACGUGAAAUUGUCAAAAGGGAAGCGUUUGACACCAGUGUUGUUUUCUCGAAAAUCAAUUAAAAAUAAGCUUGAUUUUGUGUUGUAUUGACCUUAAAAGCUUUCUUCACUUUUUUCAUGUCUAUUUUUAAUGCACUUUUCGUUUAACAAGUCAACAUCAGUUUCUUUUGUUGUAAAAAGGUCAUUGGAAGGUGGCUUUCUUUUCGGAGAAAGUGUUUAUAGCCUUUGACUCCUGCAAUCGGAGAGACUGAGGUCUGCAGCGUAGAUCCUUCAUUGGAUUAGAUUCAUUUGUGCUAAGUUAUAGCUUUUUAUAGACAACUUGUUGACUAUAUUUAGUCUUGUAGCUUACUCGCUUAUGCAAUUUUACCUACGCUUAGGAUGUUGAACGCGCACAGAGUCUC